GAUCAUGCUCAGAMYGAWRWCGUKGGCGGCGUGGAUUAGGCAUGCAAGUCGAGCGAGAAUCUAUAAAUGGAAGCUUCGGCCGAAGUUUGUAGAGGACAGCGGCAAACGGCGUAGUAAUGCGUAGGUAACGUACCCUCAGGUCUGGGAUAGCCACGGGAAACUGUGGGUAAUACCGGAUAAUAUCUGGUUGUUGAGAAACGACCGGAUCAAAGGUGUGAUUCCGUCUGAGGAGCGGCUUACGUGGUAUUAGCUUGUUGGUGGGGUAAUGGCCUACCAAGGCUGAGAUGCCUAGGGGGUGUGAGAGCAUGGCCCCCACGACUGGGACUGAGACACUGCCCAGACACCUACGGGUGGCUGCAGUCGAGAAUCUUCGGCAAUGGACGCAAGUCUGACCGAGCGACGCCGCGUGCGGGAUGAAGGCCCUUGGGUUGUAAACCGCUGUCAGAGGGGAUGAAAUGCGGGAAGGCAAUCCUUCCCGUUUGACAAAGCCUCAGAGGAAGCACGGGCUAAGUACGUGCCAGCAGCCGCGGUAACACGUACUGUGCGAACGUUAUUCGGAAUCACUGGGCUUAAAGGGUGCGUAGGCGGCUAAACAAGUCGGGGUGUGAAAUGCCUGGGCUCAACCGAGGCACUGCGCUCGAAACUGUUUAGCUUGAGWAARUAUAGGGGGUGUUGKGGAAACUUCCAGGUGGAGCGGUGAAAUGUGUGURUAUAUUUGGGAAGAGAMCCGCCGGGUGGGCGAAAGCGACACACUGGGGUCUUAACUGACGCUCAUGCACGAAAGCCAGGGUAGCGAACGGGAUUAGAUACCCCGGUAGUCCUGGCUGUAAACGUUGAGCACUAGUUUGGGAGGGGCUUCGGCCUUUCMGGACGUAGCGAAAGCGAUAAGUGCUCCGCCUGGRRUARUAKKUCGCMAGACKGACUACUACACAGAGUGCGUA
rnacentral:rRNA from 1 species